GACGUAGGGGGCCAGCGUUGUUCGGAAUUACUGGGUGUAAAGGGUUCGUAGGCGGCGUGGCAAGUCGGGAGUGAAAUUUCUGGGCUCAACUCAGAGACUGCUUCCGAAACUGCUGUGCUGGAGUGUGGGAGAGGCGCGUGGAAUUGCAGGUGUAGCGGUGGAAUGCGUAGAUAUCUGCAGGAACACCCGUGGCGAAAGCGGCGCGCUGGACCACUACUGACGCUGAGGAACGAAAGCCAGGGGAGCAAACGGG
rnacentral:rRNA from 1 species